AACGAACGCUGGCGGCACGUUUUAAGCAUGCAAGUCGAACGGCAGGUAGUGCUUGCACUACUGAGAGUGGCGAACGGGUGAGUAACACGUAGAUGAUCUACCUUUUAGUUGGGGAUGGCCCAUGGAAACAUGGAGUAAUACCGAAUAAUCUCUUUUUCUUUAGGAAUUAGAGGAAAGAAGCGUUUGCUUCGCUGAAAGAUGAGUCUGCGCACUAUUAGCUAGUUGGUGGGGUAAGAGCCUACCAAGGCAACGAUAGUUAGCCGACCUGAGAGGGUGAUCGGCCACAUUGGGACUGAGACACGGCCCAG
rnacentral:rRNA from 1 species